rnacentral:rRNA from 1 species
GAUGAACGCUGGCGGCGUGCCUAAUACAUGCAAGUCGAGCGAACAGACGAGGAGCUUGCUCCUCUGACGUUAGCGGCGGACGUGUGAGUAACACGUGGAUAACCUACCUAUAAGACUGGGAUCACUUCGGGAAACCGGAGCUAAUACCGGAUAAUAUAUUGAACCGCAUGGUUCAAUAGUGAAAGACGGCUUUGCUGUCACUUAUAGAUGGAUCCGCGCCGCAUUAGCUAGUUGGUAAGGUAACGGCUUACGAAGGCAACGAUGCGUAGCCGACCUGAGAGGGUGGUCGGCCACACUGGAGCUUGGACACGGUCCAGACUCCUACGGGAGGCAGCAGUAUGGAAUCUUCCGCAAUGGGCGAAAGCCUUACGGAGCAACGCCGCGUGAGUGAUGAAGGUCUUCGGAUCGUAAAACUCUGUUAUUAGGGAAGAACAAAUGUGUAAGUAACUAUGCACUUCUUGACGGUACCUAAUCAGAAAGCCACGGCUAACUACGUG